rnacentral:rRNA from 1 species
UACGUAGGUAGCAAGCGUUGUCCGGAUUUACUGGGCGUAAAGAGCGCGCAGGCGGUCGUUCAAGUCGAGUGUGAAAGCCCCCGGCUCAACUGGGGAGGGUCACUCGAUACUGAUCGACUCGAAGGCAGGAGAGGGAAGUGGAAUUCCCGGUGUAGUGGUGAAAUGCGUAGAUAUCGGGAGGAACACCAGUGGCGAAGGCGACUUCCUGGCCUGUUCUUGACGCUGAGGCGCGAAAGCUAGGGUAGCAAACGGG